CAUGGCGGGCUCUGUCCGGAGCUCUGUGAGCCCCCGAGUGUGCCCCGGCCUCAACCAGCCCCAGCUCCACGGUUUCAUGUUGCUAUAAUUGACAAAUGGCCAAGUGGGGCAAACACUAGUAGUGCAAAACACUUUUUCACACUCUGCUUAAUAAAGGUGUGCGUUUUCUGGCUUGGUUUAGAGCAAGAUUCUGCUUAGGUUCGCAAUUUCACCAUUUCCUGACACCCAGGAAUGCCCUUGAUGAUCUGCAUGCCCCGAGUGCUUCUCCCUUCUCUAGAUCAUAGAGAAAAGCCAUCUCCAGCAGGAUCAAGUCCUUUUGGGGUUGCUUGUGGCACCCAGAAAAUGCUGGUGGUCACCACUCCCACAGCUCAUACUGGAGUGUAUGUUCAACCAUUCUGCAGUACCUCUGGCAUGUUACCUGUGGCUAAGAGGUGGUAGCAGGCAGGAAAAUGCUUUCCCCAGCUCUGCCAGUCCCUGCAGCAGUGUGGGACAGAAUGCUCCGGGCAGUGGGGAGCAGGACACCUUUAUGCAGAUUCGGAUGCUAACCCAGCUCAAGUUUCGCCGGUCUCGCCUGGUGUCUCCUCUGUGGGUGAGUGUUCACCCUGAGUCAGCGGGGUGGAUGUCUGUCCAACCUCCUCUUCUCAAGGGUGAGCAAUGGGCUAACAGCCAACUUGGUUUGGUCCUGACAGUGAUGGUGCACUCAAAUGGAAGGAUUUGGCUGCACUAACUGGUGUUUUAAAAUGUAGCCUGCAUACACAAAUUCUUUGUGCAUAAAUUUGGGUUCUUUGGGAAUUAUUAAACCUCAAAUAAAGAGGCAGUAUUACAUUUCCAGAAUGAUUUGUCCUGAAUUUUAUUCACACACCAGAAUGAAUGAAAGACAAGAUAAAAACCUGAAUGGAACAGGUUGGAAAUGUAUAGUUUAGUCUUCUAGGAGUAUAAUUUUCAGGUACAUUAUGAGAGCCAAGCUCUCGCAUGGCUGUCUAACCAGGAAAGUUAAAACUGGAAACUGUUUUUCAAGGUUUUGUUGAAUUGGUAACAAAGGAAACCAGUUAUCCACCUUGCAGUAGUGAAAUUUUAGUGUAUUUAAUGAUAUUUGAGCUGUUCUGAUAUGCUUGAAGGGUUUAUGUGUCCUUUGGGUAGGAAGUGGUAUCUUUGACUUCUACACCUAAUUAUGAAAUACAUCCCAAAAAGUCAGCCAAGAAGAUGUUAUUUCUGGUUCCAGUACAUGAAAUAUAUGUUUGACAAUUUUAAACUGUAUAUGUAGAGAAACAUGUAACUUAUUACCACCUCUGGGUAUGAGAGAUUUAUGCACUAAAAGUUUCACACAGGUUUUGCUAGACUGUUCCUAUACUGUUCAUGCAAAAUGUGUAUUUCCAAUGACAACUUCUAGCAUACAGUCUUAUAAAAUAGUCCUGCUUUUCAGGAGUUAAAUAAUCACUUUUCUCCAGUAUUUACAUAUUUACAUGUAAAAAAAAUUGCAAGUCUAUGAUUUUAUAUGCACUUGUACCUAUAAAUAAUUUUCAGUAGAUAUGAAAUGCAUAAAUAUGCUAUCAAUAUAUUUCAAUUAAAUAUUCAUCUAUAUACUGCUAUUAUAAUUGUUCUUCAAUAAAAAAAAUUUUUAUGUUAUCAAAUGUUUAAAAGUAACCAAUAGCUUCUUUCUGUGUCAUUUGUUGGUUUUUUAGGGGAUGGAGAUAAAAAUGGCAAAGCUCAGGAACCUUUUUUGCUGGAACUGUGCUAAAAUCCAGUUCCUUUUAUUGGCAAAGUGAAUUUUUCAGUGCAAUUGUAACACUUUG